UAUCAUAGAAUUUCACUCGAUACUUACACAAAUAUGUCUUUUUUGGGAUAAAAAUUGCUUUCACCCUACUUUCAGUUUAUUAGUUCCUUGGCCAAAAGAAUAACGUAUAUUCAUUUCCUCCUGGAGAAUUUAACUAGAAUGAAACGUCCACUUAAAUUACAACAGGAGUUGUAAUUACAUUUGAAGGGUGGAAGAUAGACAAUUACGUUUUCUGACGAUCAGCUUUGCUUUCUUUGGGUUUUUCGAUGGAACUGGUCGUUAAGUUAUUCACAGUGGGAUAGUUUUCGCCCUUUUGCGCUCAACUGCUGCUACUCAGCAUAUCUCAAAAAAGAGCUUCUCGUCGGAGUUGCCGAUGAUGUGGCAGGGUUAACAAUUGACCGCGAAACCGUCAAAGAUGGCUCAGCGGCGGAUCCAAGUGCGGAUGAGAGAAGAAAUCGGCCACAUCCUCACGAAGAAUAAUCGCGACGUCUGCUUGAGGUUCGCGCCAGUAGCAGUGCAGCGCUCGCGAGAUGGGAAGGCUACCCGUGCAGCGCAGUCUCGACAGCGAGGAGCGUUGUGCAGCCUCUACAGCGGUCGGCGGCGGCCAGAUGAGGUGGAGGUGAGGCAAGGACUGGUUUGUCCAGUGGCGCUGGAUCCGCGUCACCGUGUUUACGGCGCUACUCUCCUGGAGGAGGGGAGAGUGGGGACAGAAAACACUCCUUGCAGCGCCACAUCGAAAACAAGGUGCCGUGUUUGCUUACCUUCACGUAACCACUGCAGAAUUUCCGCUGACAACUGUGGGUGUGGUUGCCCUGCCGUUGGCAACAAUACCAAUGAGGCUUUCUGCUACGUCACCUGGACGAAGGCGUGCAGUAAAUUCUCACAAUCACACUACGCUGCACAGAGGCUGCCCCAAACUUUAGGGUCAAAAUUGUAUACAUAGUAGUGAAUUUUUAACUGAAUACGUUUAGAGAUUGAUUUAAUAGCUGAAAAUAAAUAUUUUGUUUAUUACUGACAUAAGCAACUUACACCACAUGGCAACAACCUAAGCACAUAGCAACCAUUCUCAGUUCAUGCUUUACAGCGGCUCAUCGAGCUUCGCUGCCCUCUCUCAAAAGGUCAGCAACACUAGAUGUUUGUUCGGUGACGAUGCUGUCGUGUACAGGUUUCGUUGUUGGGCGGCCUUAAGAAAAUGCAGAAAGAUUUUGACAAAAUUUCCACAUGGUGUAAAGAAUAACACGUUCUCUUUAAAUGAGGAUAUACGUCAGACAAUGCCCAUAACAAAGAGAAAGAAUCCGACCGUAUCAGAUUACAAGAAUAGUGCUGAACGUCUUGAGCGCUUCAGAUCGCAGAAGUAUUUAAGGGUAAUACUAAAAAGCAAUACGAAAAUCAGCAUGAAAUUAGUGUUGGGGAAGGAGAUUGGAAGACUUGGUUCUGGAUAAAUGUAAUUAAUCCGUGAAGAAAACAGCAUACAAGAAGUAAGUGCAACCAAUUCCGAAGCGUUUUCCCAGUGUUUGGAGUCUUUAUGAAGUAUGCUUCCUACAGACAUCGAACGGGUUCAGUAGCGCACUGCAAAGAUCAUAGCAGGUCGGGACCACCAAACAGAGCUUCUUGGAUCAGAGAUAACCAGUUCCUAAUGCCGGUGACGAGCGGCAAAUUCCAUCGUGGGUAUUUGGAUACCAAAGCAGGAAUCUUGACAGCGAACAGUUCCUAAUCGUAGUACUGCGGCGUGACGUCCUUGAUCAAACCCAAAACCUUGCGAAAGUGGAUAAUCCACGUCUCAAGACAGAGUAAUUUAGUUAAGCGUCUGCCCAGAAAUAUUUCAUCGAUGAUAGGCAACGUGCUAGCAACUUGUGACGGCCAUCCCACUUCUUUCACUUCCAUACUUACUGAUUACAAUACAAACAUUAUGCUAAACACAUUUCCUUCAUUUAGCGUUACGUACCAUAGACGGUAGCAAAUUAGCAUAAAAGUAACUUAAUAUCGGCAACGAAUGGAACGAAAUUGUGUCUGGAAAGCAACUACUGUGACAGAAAUGGUCUUUGUUACGAGACUUCCAUCUUCAUUUUUUUAUCAAAUUUCGAGUGAGUAUUACGUCAUAAAUCAUGAAUACCAAUGAGUCUAAUUUGGGAGCCAGUCGCCACAGGCGUGGUGCAAGUCCGUCAAGGCCAUUCGGACUGGGUCCUUGGUGGCUCCGUAGCCGAACGUCGAGGACGCAGUCUGUGUUCUUGGCGAAAACUGUAACUUUAACCCUUUUAUCACAAAAUUGUUGCCAGAAAACUGUUUUCAAGAACCGCCUGUACCCGAAGGGAAUGCAAUGGCAUUCAAUUUCAUGUGUCUUUACUCCACGUCAAAUGCAGUAAUACCUUGUGAUGUGUUACAUAAUGCCACCUUCCUCAUUCCUUGUUAUUAGCAACUAAAAAUGAAAAUAUUAUAUGUGUGGCUUAUGACGAUCAUGAUAACACAUUAUUAUUACUAAUAUUCAAUCUAUUUAACAAUUAUUGUUGCAAUGUAGCGAAAUGUUAACACUCCUGCUACAUAAACAUUUUUUUCAAAAAGAUAAUAUCGAUGUGUGUGUGUGUUUACUUAUCAAUUAAUUAAUUUAAAAUACAUUAAGCAUCAUAUAAAAAUAAUUUACCUGUAAAUGGUCAGCAUGUAGCCAUAUUUUCGUUAAAAAUAUAUAAUUUUUGUAAAAUACUUCCCACAAUCCUCAUGACAGCGGUAUACAACGAACAUGAUAAAUGGCAUAUGAAAAUAACUAGAUAAUGUGGCAAUGUUACGAUGCUCUCUUGGGAUAAGAAAAUAAAGUA